GACAGAGGGGCCAAGCGUUAGGCGGAAUCACUGGGCUUAAAGCGUGUGUAGGCGGGUGCCUAAGUAACUUGUGAAAUCCCACGGCUCAACCGUGGAACUGCUGGGUAUACUGGGUGCCUUGGGUCAUCUAGGGGCUGCCGGAACAAAUGGUGGAGCGGUGAAAUGCGUAGAUAUCAUUUGGAACGCCAACGGCGAAAGCAGGCAGCUGGGGAUGCACCGACGCUGAGACACGAAAGCCAGGGGAGCGAACGGG
rnacentral:rRNA from 1 species